AUACGUGCAAAAGACACACAGCAUACAGCGAGCUGCUGUGGCGAGAGCAAGAGAUACCGAGUACAGAGAAGGCGGAUUGCGUGUAUGCAAUAAUGAGUGAUUUCGGUGGAAAUCGAGUAGUCGCAUAUCGGGUAGAGUCGUAUUGGGCGAGAGUCAGAUAGAGAUUGUUUUUUUUUGGUUUUGGCUAUGUGUGUGAGCGAUUUUCGGUUAUGGUGUGUUCGAAAGAAUGAAAUUUUCUAUUUUGGAGUUGAGCCAGUGGUGUCGAAUUGUUUGGCAGCACAGUAUUGUGUGGAUUCUGGCACACAAAACACGCGCGCCAAUCGUUGCCCUACGGGCAAUGAUUGUGUGUCGUGGCGUUUGAAAAAUUCAAAUUUCUCGUUUUUAAAAACAUCAACGCUAAAAUAACCAAGAACACUUUUCUCUCUCGCCAUCGUCCGGGACAUUUUUCUUGAGAAAAGGGCUAAACACUUUAUUUUUUCGUUUUAUUAUGUUAUUUUAAUCGGAUUUGAAGUCGUUGUCAUUUUUGUUGAUUUUCAAGAAGAAAAUUCCGCAAUUUGGUUUUUUUUUUCAACUGAAGAAGAAAAAAAAUGCGUAAAAUCUUAAAAGUUCGCCUAAAAUAAUCUAAAUAAGAAGAAAAUAGAAUAAUCGCAUUAAAUCCGCUGUCAUCGCGAUGAGUUGCACUUUAAACUCGGACUCAAUCGCCACAACGGUCGACGGGUGAUGACGUCGUUGUACACAUAAAAUUCGUUAAUUUGGUUGAUUGCUUUGUUAUUUUUCGUUUUAAAUUCGCGGGCUCAAUUUUAGUUACGUAACCAUUUGAAUCGUCUCCAAGCUGUCUACGACAUAACAAAAUAACUGAGAGAAAAAAAGAGAGCGUGAAUAUGCAGUGUGAGAAUAUUUUCAGUGUUAGCUUCGGUUGCUGCUGAUAUGGUGCAAGAGUGAGUUUGUUUCUUUUGUUCGCCAAGGAAAUAGACCGGUGAAAACAUUUUUGUCUUCGGCCCAAGAUGAGAUGCCAUUGAUGCCGUUACUGCUCCAUCGCUAUCCAACUGGCUAAUACCCAAAAAGUUUUGUGUCAAAGAAAAAUGGCCAACCGAAAUGAAUGAACACACACACACCAGAUAGAGAGAGAGAGUGAAAAAAAGGAUCCUGAACGAAAAAUAUAAUUCUUCAAUUUUGCUGGCCCCGAAUCAAAUCACACACAGCGAAUGUGAGUGAGAGAGCGAGAGCGAGCCUCAAAAAUGGGCGCGUUGCGACAAACCGAGACACAAAAUCGACGAAAAAUUGAAAAUCAUUCUGAGUUGUUGGCACACUGGUGUGUUGAUCUGUUUGGCGAACGACGAAUUUUUAUACCUUGUCAAUGAUGGCUUUGGCUUCAUUCACAUCGUUCACGACACACUCACCCUAAAUCAACACUUUACUCAGCCAGAAUAUUUUUUUAUCCGCCGUUCGUCCGCAACAUUCAGUUGGUGUUGAAAAUUCAUUGUGAUCAGUACGCGGCGCGAGCAGCACUUAAUUCGAACGAAUUAAAUGAAAAAUCAUCUCACGCAACUAUUUUUAAUAUUUCAACUCCUGCUCUUGCAUCGGUUGGAAAAAAAACUGGCCGUACACAUCACACAUGUACGGUAUAGAGUGCAUAAAAUCAAAAAAUCAUCAUAAAUUAAACGGCAUUCAAUUAAGUCGCAUCAAAUAUUUAACGUUAAGUGUAGCAUGCAGAACGAAGCUGGUUAUACUUUGAAAGUCGGGUGUGAUUCCACACGUGCAACGCUUUCGAAAACCGCAAUAGAUAAAUCGUUUGAAAACGGCGUUUUUUUUUCGCAAAGCAUCCAAUAAAACUACUCAAUAAUAAACAAAUUAAUUACUCAAUAAAUAUACUCUAACUAUUUAAUAAAACAUCGCAAACUUUACCGGGGCGAAAUAAUGAAAUAUUCAACACAAUUAAAUAAACUUAAAAUAAACACGAAUCAAUUAGUGACAAGCGCGUAAUGAAUUAAAAGCAGUUUUGAAACGACGAGAGCCCGCUGAAAAUCGCGUGCUCACAACGAAGCGAACGCUCCCACGCACUUGUUGAAACGUAACAAGUCUAUCGAAUUCUCUACUGAAAACUGAAAAUUUUCCCCGAAAAAGAUGGCAAACAUUCAUCCGACACACUUGCGAACUGACUUCCUUCAUACAUCGACUACCCGGAUUAUCCGAAAACACACCAAAUGCUGGCUGAUCCGAACGAAAUACAAAACACCGCACGCAGACACAGUCAACAAACAGCAGUUUGUCAACAACAGUAGUAUUUGUACAUAUAUAAGUUUAACCAUUAAUGACCCAUGAAGAACAGAAAAAUACUCUCCACAACAUAAAAUUAUCUUAUAAAUCGAAAAGAAAAUGCUUGCAAUUCAAGUGGUAGUAUGAGGAGGAGAACAAAAAUGCCAACCGGUUAUUUUGCGCACCAGCACCAUCAAUUGUCCCUUGUAAAAUCGUUGAUAAUCCGUUGGGGUUUUUGGAAUGAAAAAAAUGCUUUGUGUAAAUAAAUCUUGAAUUUUGAACAUUUUCUAAAGCGAUUCAACAAUAUUAUGAUGAAGAAGAACCGGAAUCAUAACAACGGCAUAUUCAUAGGACAAAAGAAAUGUGACAAAGAAUGUGAGAGUGUGAACGAUUUGAGGAAAUAAUUAGAUGUAUAAGACAUUUUCUAGUUGAGAUCGCAUUGUACGAUUGAAAAGCUAAUAUUCUGAAUAAACAAAGGCAAUAGGAAUAGCUCAUGUAAACAUGAAGCAUGCAGCGAUGCAAAGUCCUUGGAUUAGUUUAAGUUUUUCAAUAUUCGCAAUUUCCUAGUUCAAGCCACAACGGUUGAAAUGAGAAUUGGGAGUGAGAGUGUUUUUAUUUAUGGACUCCAUUCAAAAUGCAUGCAAUGAAACGACCCUUGUGAGUUGAACUCCCGAAAUGCACAACACAUUUGAUGAACCGAACUCGAUUUUGCUCCAUAAACUAAAUGCUUUCAAACUGAGGCGAAAGCGUUUGGAUUUAUUUGGGCCAAAUGCCGAAAUUCGAUUCAAAGUCAAAACAGGCACAACUCGGUAUUUUGUUACGUAUUAUAAUUCAAUACAAGUAUUUUUUAAAUUAAACGAUGCGAAGGUUCCAUUGUAGAAAAUUCCUCUAGGACGUAUGUAUAAAUUUGAUAGAUGUAGUUUGGUCAUAGGGUUUUUUGAUGGAAUUUCCACACACACUCACACUAAUCAAGAAUAAUAUUAGUAGCGUAUACUUAUCAAAUAUGCAAGGCACAAUACUUUAGGCUGAAACUCGAAUUGGCUAAUUCAGCGCACCAAAAUCAAAGGAAUAUACCAUUUAUUAGUUACCAGAUUUUACCACUGAUUCCAUGAGAUGCAAUUAGAACACUUGUGUUUCUUUUAGGUUUAUUACCCAAACAACGAUGAAGAUGAUGAGAAUGACGACGAAGACAAAAAUUCGUUCAUAUGACGUUUAACAUGUAGCACAAGAAGAAUUAUCUCUCGAUUUUUUUUCUAAUCUUAACUUCAAAUUUACAAUAUGUACUUACCUAAAUCCGUAGCAAGUAUUUGAACUAAUAAAAAGUAAUGUAGCAGUUUUACGGUUUACCGAAA